rnacentral:miRNA from 1 species
UCAGAUGCCUGUAUGGACUCUGAAGGAUCUCCCUCAUCCUUCAGGCUGCAUACAAUGGUGAGAUCAGGUCAGGUGACAGGCUGAAAUUCAAGUCUAAAGAACCGGAGGUUAGGCAGAGAGAAGCAAAUCAGAUGCAGGGACUGAAGGGUGCUCCCCAACUCUGUCUCUCCU